AUACGUAUGUCUCAAGCGUUACCCGGAAUCACUGGGUGUAAAGGGUUCGUAGGCCGAAAUUUAAGUCAGAUAUGAAAGACCGAAGCUCAACUUCGCGUUUGUAUUUGAAACUGGAUUUCUAGAAUCAGGGAGAGGUAAGCGGAAUUCUAAGUGUAGGGGUGCAAUCCGUAGAUACUUAGAAGAACACCAAAAGCGAAGGCAGCUUACUGGAACUGUAUUGACGCUCAUGAACGAAAGCGUGGGGAGC
rnacentral:rRNA from 1 species